AAAUUGAAGAGUUUGAUCAUGGCUCAGAUUGAACGCUGGCGGCAGGCCUAACGCAUCUGGAGAUCAGACGGUAGCUGGGAAGAAGCACUUCUUUUUCGGCGGAGACGGGUGGAAGUAAUCUGGAAACUGCACGAUGGAGAGGGAUAACUACUGGAAACGGUAGCUAAUACCAUGGCAUUAUAAGGGCCAAGAGGGACCUUCGGGCCUGCUGCCAUCGGAUGUGCCGGAUGGGGUUAGCUAGUAGGUGGGGUAACGGCUCACCUAGGCGACGAUCCCUAGCUGGUCUGAGAGGAUGACCAGUCACACUGGAACUGAGACACGGUCCAGACUCCUACGGGAGGCAGCAGUGGGGAAUAUUACAAUGGGCGCAAACCUGAUGCAAUAAUAUAGCGAUGGCUGAAGAGGCUGGGUUGUAAAGUACUUUCAGCGGGGAGGAAGGGAGUAAAGUUAAUACCUUUGCUCAUUGACGUUACCCGCAGAAGAAGCACCGGCUAACUCCGUGCCAGCAGCCGCGGUAAUACGGAGGGUGCAAGCGUUAAUCGGAAUUACUGGGCGUAAAGCGCACGCAGGCGGUUUGUUAAGUCAGAUGUGAAAUCCCCGGGCUCAACCUGGGAACUGCAUCUGAUACUGGCAAGCGAGUUCUCGUAGAGGGGGGUAGAAUUCCAGGUGUAGCGGUGAAAUGCGUAGAGAUCUGGAGGAAUACCGGUGGCGAAGGCGGCCCCCUGGACGAAGACUGACGCUCAGGUGCGAAAGCGUGGGGAGCAAACAGGAUUAGAUACCCUGGUAGUCCACGCCGUAAACGAUGUCGACUUGGAGGUUGUGCCCUUGAGGCGUGGCUUCCGGAGCUAACGCGUUAAGUCGACCGCCUGGGGAGUACGGCCGCAAGGUUAAAACUCAAAUGAAUUGACGGGGGCCCGCACAAGCGAAAGUGGGAGCGUGGACGAAAUUCGAUGCAACGCGAAAGAACCUUACUGUCUUGACAUCACGGAAGUUUUCAGAGAUGAGAAUGUACCUUCCGGGAACCGUGAUUUGGUGCUGCAUGGCUGUCGAUGUCGAUGAGUAUUUGAAGUCCCUUACAGCGAGGCGCAACCCUUAUCCUUUGUUGCCAGCGGUCCGGCCAGGAACUCAAAGGAGACUGCCAGUGAUAAACUGGAGGAAGGUGGGGAUGACGUCAAGUCAUCAUGGCCCCUUACGACCAGGGCUACACACGUGCUACAAUGGCGCAUACAAAGAGAAGCGACCUCGCGAGAGCAAGCGGACCUCAUAAAGUGCGUCGUAGUCCGGAUUGGAGUCUGCAACUCGACUCCAUGAAGUCGGAAUCGCUAGUAAUCGUGGAUCCGAGAAUGCCACGGUGAAUACGUUCCCGGGCCUUGUACACACCGCCCGUCACACCAUGGGAGUUGGUUGCAAAAGAAGUAGGUAGCUUAACCUUCGGGAGGGCGCUUACCACUUCCGGGUUAGGCUAGGAGGUGAAGUCGUAACAAAGGUAACCGUAGGGGAACCUGCGGUUGGAUCACCUCCUUACC
rnacentral:rRNA from 1 species